GAUGAACGCUGGCGGCGUGCCUAAUACAUGCAAGUCGAGCCAACAGACGAGGAGCUUGCUCCUCUGACGUUAGCGGCGGACGGGUGAGUAACACGUGGAUAACCUACCUAUAAGACUGGGAUAACUUCGGGAAACCGGAGCUAAUACCGGAUAAUAUAUUGAACCGCAUGGUUCAAUAGUGAAAGACGGUCUUGCUGUCACUUAUAGAUGGAUCCGCGCCGCAUUAGCUAGUUGGUAAGGUAACGGCUUACCAAGGCAACGAUGCGUAGCCGACCUGAGAGGGUGAUCGGCCACACUGGAACUGAGACACGGUCCAGACUCCUACGGGAGGCAGCAGUAGGGAAUCUUCCGCAAUGGGCGAAAGCUUGACGGAGCAACGCCGCGUGAGUGAUGAAGGUCUUCGGAUCGUAAAACUCUGUUAUUAGGGAAGAACAAAUGUGUAAGUAACUAUGCACGUCUUGACGGUACCUAAUCAGAAAGCCACGGCUAACUACGUG
rnacentral:rRNA from 1 species